rnacentral:rRNA from 1 species
AUACGGAGGGUGCAAGCGUUGUCCGGAUUUAUUGGGUUUAAAGGGUGCGCAGGCGGUGCGUUAAGUCAGUGGUGAAAUCUUCCGGCUCAACCGGGAAACUGCCAUUGAUACUGGCGCACUUGAGUACGGACGAGGUAGGCGGAAUUUAUGGUGUAGCGGUGAAAUGCAUAGAUACCAUAAAGAACACCGAUAGCGAAAGCAGCUUACCAGACCGUAACUGACGCUCAGGCACGAAAGCGUGGGGAGCAAACAGGAUUAGAAACCCUAGUAGUCC